rnacentral:rRNA from 1 species
GAUGAACGCUGGCGGCGUGCUUAACACAUGCAAGUCGAGCGGGCAAUUUAUCUAGCACUGAUUACUUCAAAUGGCUAUCGCCAGUGUAAUCAUGAAUUUCUACCUUUAAUAAAGAAAAAGAAAUUUCAUGUACGCAAAUAGUGAUAACACAUUUUAGUGGAGUGAUGAGUGCUGGAUAAAUUGCUAGCGGCGGACGGGUGCGUAACACGUGGGUAACCUGCCCCUAUCACUGGGAUAACACACUGAAAAGUGUGCUAAUACCAGAUAAUAUAAGCUUUUGGCAUCAUUAGCUUAUCAAAGAAUUUCGGAUAGGGAUGGGCCCGCGUCUGAUUAGCUAGUUGGUGAGGUAACGGCUCACCAAGGCAACGAUCAGUAGCCGACCUGAGAGGGUGAUCGGCCACACUGGAACUGAGACACGGUCCAGACUCCUACGGG